rnacentral:tRNA from 1 species
GGGCCUGUAGCAUAGCCUGGAUACGUCAAAUCCUUUGACGGAUUUGCCUUUAGGCAAAUAGUGCGUUCGGCUUCGGACCGGAUGACCGGGGUUCAAAUCCUCGCAGGCUCA